AAGAUCAAGGAGAUACACCCAUUGGGAAAGGAAGAAAAAAUAUCAGAAAAUUGAUAUCUGAUAAAAUGUUGAGAGAAGAAACUAAAGCUGCUGCCCAAGCUGAACUAGAACGAAAAAGGCGUAUUUUAGAAAGACAAAAAGUAUACAAUCACACUGUUAUAGAAGUUACUGAGACUGGAGAGUGUGUAACUAAAAAGCUAGUUCUAGAAGUUGAUGAAGAAAACAAA